GAAAUAUCAUGUAUAGGGGCCUUCGCACCCCACACACACAGUAGUAUAUCAUGUUCUUUCACAUGUUUUACCAUUAAAACAAAUCAUUUAGUUCGAUCGAUCACAAGCCCCUAAUGCUGAACAGCAAAGCGACUAAACAUGCAAUAAAUCACAAAACUUCAAUUUAUUAUUACACACCAAAGGCGCACACCAGUUUAACUGAAGAACGAUACUAAAAACUCAGUCUGAUAGGUGGAUCAUCAAAGGAGAAUCAAGGCAUCCAAAAGCAAGGCCAACAUAGGAGUGGUGCACCAUGCCAGGGACAUAGCCAGUCGAGGAAAUUCAGCCGGUGAUCCUCAGAAGAACCCCCGUACGAUGCCACCCCCACGCUGCACGGUAGGCUUCACCUGCCACCUACUCCAUGACUUAUGCUCCUAGCGUCAACACCCUUUGAUUUCCCUCCUUUUAUCUGCAAAAUUGCCAAAUUUGUUAGGCAUUGACAUAUCAACCUGAUAAGCAUAAUUAGAACAUUUAUUAGCUUCUUUUUCCAAAAACAACAACCGGUUUUGCAUCUCCAAUUUGUCCAAAAGAUAGCAGCGACACCAACUAACACCCGUUUUUGGGUUACAUCAUGUUGGUUUUUUUUAAUCCAUCCACUAAAGCACAUAUCAGAUUAGCAUGAUUGAUCCCAAAUUUAAAUCAUAUUUAAGAAAACCCCACACUAGUUUAUCCACUGAACAUCUGAAGAAAAAGUGUUUAUUCCUCUCAUCUUGACCACAAAACACACAAUUUUUGGGAUCUAUCCAGCCACUUUUCAAUAAAUUAUCUCUAGUUAAUAUGUUAUUUUUGACCAUCAACCAAAGAAAGACUUUGAUUUUUGGUGAAAUUUUAGUUUUUAUUAAAACAAUUGUGGCAAACCACAAUAUUGAACAACAAGGUGUCUAUAAAGUGAUUUGACUGUAAAAAGACCAUAUGCAAUUAACAUACACUUAAUAGAAUCCUUGUUGUGAGACAUCAUAUUCCAUCACAUCUCAUUUUGAGGCUAUCCCAAAGAUCUAGAGCAUCACCUGACAAAGUUCUUCUAAAUCUAAAACCCUCCCAACUUCUCUAAAAGGCAUCAGCUGCAGUAAUAUUGUGAUCAGAACUCAAAUUAUACAGUAUGGCAUAAGAGAUUUUAAGGGGUUUAAAAUCUACCAACAGUCUUCCCAAAAUCUAGCAUUCAUUACCCACUUUUUUACAAUAUUGGUACAAUAAGUAUUUAAUUUUCAUGAUACUGGACCAAAAAUGGGAGUUCCCAGUCUUAGGUUUAGUUCCAAAAAGGCAACCAUUCUGAACAUGCUUGUUCAGGAGAAUCAUGUGCCAAAUACCAUUUUUAGUUUCUACCAUAACUAUUUAGCCGACAAGUUUUGUUCAUGAGUUCAAGAUUUAAAAUCCCUAAACCCCCUUGAUCUUUAGGUCUAAAUCAAGUGUUCUAGUUUACUAAGUGUUAUUUUUUCUUAUUGCCAUCUCCCUGCCAAACAAACCUAGCCAUGAAGAAAUUGGCUCUUUUCUUCACAUCAACUGGGAUGGGGUAGAAAAACAUCAUACAUAAGUUGAAUCUCCCCCUCUAUUGUUAAAUCUUCUCUCAUAGUUGUUAAAUCUCCCCCCUUUUGUUGAAACUACCUUACGCUCCUGCACCACUGCAAGCCCUAGCCAUCCCUUCUUGCUCACCAGGUAGCGUCGCCGGAGAAGUAAAGCCUUACCACACAUCGCUUGCACGCCCACCAAAUUCCCUUAGGGUGCGGACCAAAGCAUCUAAAUACCCAAAGGCAGCAGAAGACACAUUCUCCUUAAGUGUUUUCCUAUCCCACCAACCUGGACCUCUUGAUCAAAAACAUCCAGUCCAACCGCCCAGGGCCAACUACAGAAGGUUCAAUGGGUAAAGGCCAAAACCUUAAAACUCACCCCUCCUUUCUCAAUAUUUAUCAUCACAACAUCAAUGUAAUCUAAGAAAUCCACCCCCAAAACAAGCUAUCCUUUGUACAAUUGGCAAGGAUAGCUGGAAAAUUACCAAUUCUUGUAGCCUUUUUUACUAGAUUUCCACCAGUAACAUCUAAUUCCAAUUAAUGACUAUAUCAUCACAAAUUUGAUAUUGUGGGUAUCAACAUCAGGAAGAUCCAAGGAGAAAUCAUCCUCAUAACAGUAUUACAAUCAAAAUCAAUGACAUGAUCAACUUCCAUCGGAAAAUCCACCGAAGACUUUUCGGAGUAUGCAACUAAGAUCUCCUAACCCUAUUUCUCGUAACUACACCCCCAACUGUUAGUUUGUACAUGAGGAUGUAAAUAUUUGUAGAGAUCAACAAUCUUACUAGAAAAUGAAGCAGCAAAACGAUUGUAGGAGUCCUCGACUCCUCCCCAGCAGCAGCCAUAAUUGACUGCCUGCCAGGAAGACGCCUACUCGUCGGCGGCGCUCUGUGCAAGCGCCUGGAUCCGUGCAGAACGCCGGGGGAACCGCGGGGAGCGACGAGGCAACUGUGAAACCACCCGCGCCACAUUUUGCCUCGGCACCACCCGCACAUCAUCGUCGGUCACGACAGGCAUCACCGGACAGUGUGGCGGUGACCUUGUCGUCGUGGUCACCACCCGCACACCAUCCCAGACCAGAUUGGACGAAACCCAAUCUUGUGACGCGUAGCGGUACCACCGCGCGCGCUGCACUGGAUCGUUUGAUUCCGCCUCCAUCAUUGCCCAAUAGAGGAUCUCGAGCGGGGCCUUCCCUGAGAUCCAACUUUGUUCCUCCUCAGAGGCCUCUUCAACCACCCGACGUGAUUCCUGAUGCAUCUCCUCUGCAUCCCUGAACCGCCCACAGAUCUCGCGAAGCCUCGCCAUCUUCGCCUCGUCGCUACCCGCGAUUGCCGCCGCCAUGAGAUCCCCCCACGCCAAAGGCCCUUCCAUCACCGAGAUCUGAGACGGAGGUUGGAGGAAGAGAAGAAGGGGAUCGUAGACACCCUCGUGCCUUGCGUGUAGAUUUAAUGCUUGCCAAAGUCAUAGGUAUUCAUUUCCCACAUCACGGGUUCCUCGAGAUUAGUGUGGGAUCAACGUCGUUGAUUUUUUGGAAAUUAUUAUGUCCUGGAUCUUGAGAAAUCAUCUAUUAGGGGCCAUCCUAUCAAGAUCCCAAUGCCCAAGUUGUACUCCACUAAAACUAGAAUUGGCAUCCGUCCAUCCACGGAACGAGCACAAGCCAACAAGAUUACACCAAACGUGACGCUGCAUCAGUUUCAGUUUCAUAGAAACGCUGCCAUGGGAAAGCAAAGAAAUUGUUGGUAAAAUGAGGCAAGGACAGCGUGGUAAACGAUGUCUAGUCUAGGCCCUGUCUACCACCCGCCGCACCGCAAAUGCACCAUCCAGCACCCAACAUGUGUCCUAGCCGCCGAAUGGGUCAGACUAACAGUCACCUUACAAGCCGACCCCACUCGCAGCCACACCCAACACGCCCUUAUUAACCCCGUGGACACCAGAACCAAUUCGAUCAUCUCCCCGUCGUCAACCUUGCCGCAUACGUCCCUCCGCUCCGCGUAAUAAGAAGUUAAAAACCCAUGCCUCCAGACAUUUUCCCAGUUCGUCCACCGGCAUCACCGCGUUGAGCCCUAGCCACGCAUGGAGCUGUUCACGCACGCCAAGGAAAUUCUCCUUCCAGUUUGUACCUGUACGACAACCACUAACCUCUUUUCGUCGAGCUUUUCACUGCCCAAGUUCUCUAUUUAUAACCUGAAUUGUGGGUAGGCUUUCCACCACCAUCACCAUGACCAUGCUUAUAUAAACCGCGAUGGCGGAUGUAGACAAGGAUGGAUGGAUGGUCAGGUGCCUAGCUAUAUUUCUUCUAUGCAAUGUGUUGUGUGAUAUUGUGUUUCAGUCAUGGCAUGUUUUGAUCCUGCACAUGCUUUUGGCACUGAGAUGUUGCCAUCAUUCGUGUUUCUUGUGGGUUUGGGUUUGGAUGUUCAUGUAAGGAGGUUUGGCAUGCCAUGUUACGCCUUUCAUUCUUUUUACAGAAGAUUGCAUGUUUUCCUUGCGUAUAGGAGGUUUUUCUGGUUCAUGUGGUUUUCUUAGUGCUUCGUUUGCGCGGCGCACUUGAGCAAGUUCCAGCUAUGGAAAUGAUAGCAAUGAUUGAUGAGGAGACGAGGUAGUUGUACACAUAUAUAGUUGCCAACACUGUUUUUAUCUCAAUUUGGCCUGCCUUUAUGGGGUCGGUGGCAUUCAACGCUGAUGUUUUAGUCCAUGAUUGGAUUGGACAUGUUGCGUGCUACAAACCGUCCUUAGCCUUGGGCCCAUAUAUACUCCUGAUGUAAGUGAAAGAUAAGUUGUCAAUAGCUAGCUAGUGCUCCCUCGGUCCCAAAAUAAGUGACUCAAUUUUGUACUAAUUUAAGUCUGUUCUGACGUUAAUUAUAGAAGCAUGACUUUGGCCUGGAUUGUGUCGAUGCGAUGCAAUGCAAUUUCCUGGAUGCCAAUUGUUUGGUGGAACCACGAUUUCAGUCUUGACGUACGUACAUGACCCGUGACGCAUUGUCCGGCCAAACUUCUAGAUGCAAUACACGUAAACAAGAGGAAGAAGUUGACCUCCGCGUCCUGGUGCUGGAGAACAAAACGACCCAGAGAUGCAGCAUCCUUCAUGUGGAAAAUUGAUCUUUCUCAAAAAAAAAAAAGAAGUGGAAAGCUGAUCCUGGCACGCACGGGUCUCUCUCGGUGACAAACGCUUGCAUUGUUGUACUCCCUCCGUCCGAAAAUACUUGUAUCCAUUUUAAUGACAAGUAUUUUCAGACGGAGGGAGUAUGUAUUUAGGCGACGACGGAAGCCGCGCCACGAAAGGAAGUUAAGUGAUCACGCACCACCAAAACUAGAGUUUUCGCAUCUGACAGUCACGCCCACCUAAAAUGGCACCCUUUGUCAGCGUUGCACUCUUCGCACGUAUUCUUAAUCGUGAAGCUUCUCGUAGGAACAAGCAAGUAAAUGGAUCGAUGGAGAAAUUUUGUUGUCUGUCAAGUACCUCGGCAGUCAGCUAGGAGUACUUAAGCAGGAGUGGCCGUUUGAAUCAAUCAGGUGGCGGAAGAUACGUACUUACUCCCCUUCCGGAGAAAGACCGGGAUAAGUGCACACAGUAACAAAAGUCGUGUGGGACGUCCCACGCAACCGCACGCCCGGAAAAGUUGGAUCGCUCGAGGCGAUCAGGGAGGCGACUAGGGGGCCUUGCGCGCCGCCGGUGACGCCGCCGGUUCCCUCUCUCCGUUGGCCGCUCCGGCGACGGGAGGGAGGGAAACCUCGGGUCUGUUCACUAGGUGGGUGUGUGGUAGGGUUAGGGUUGAGGAAAAUGCUGCCGAGGUCGUUGCGGUGGUGUCGCGUCGGAAUAAGUUUCUCCGGGCUUCGUUCGCGGUCAGGCGAGGCUUUUGCCUUCGUCUAGAAGCCAGCGGUGUUGGGGAUCCCCGGAUCUCGUCGAGGUCGCGGGCUAUGGUGGUUGGAGGUCCAUCGGCACUGGCCGUUUGGAUCCUCAGAUGGGCGAUGGAGGUAGGGAGACGAAGACCUUUCUUCUUCCUUGUUGGUACGAUUUGCUGCUGCUGUUCUUCUCCUUCCUCUGCGCUGAUGCUGGUGGGAGAUCCUGCUUUGCCCGGGCGGAUGGCCCGGCCGCGGUGCUGGACCGGUCGGAUGACUCGAGUUCUCUUCCUUCCGAAAGGGACACUUCUCGCGGUACUCAAAGCCAAAGAUGGCGACGGCUGUUGCAAGUGUGUUGGAUUGAGGUCCAUGCCCUCUCAACGCUGGUGUCAAGAAAGGAGGAAGCAGCGUGGCGGCAAUUGUACCGUGGUCGAAGAUGAUGACCUGUUUGCGACUGGUUGCAGAUCCUUCUGCUGCAGGGGUCUUCUCUCAAGAUUCAGGGAUGAUGACACAGGGCUCUGGAGAUCUUCUUGUUUUAUGGUUGUCUUAGGGUACUCUAGGUGUUCAUGGUCCUUUGUUUUUGCGUUUCGGUGUGCUUGUAAGGGUCACCUACUCUGUACUGAUUCGUGAUUUGAAUGAACAAUUUCUAAAAAAAAGUCGUGUGGGGUGCGACACGCGGUUGAGUGCACGGCGUAGGAAUGAAAUGAUGGUUGGCACAAGACCGCACCGGGCCAUGCUGCCUGUUCGUGGUCGGCAACUCGGCAUGGGCACGUCCAGGUCAACCGACCGACCGUAGCAGCAGCACAGCACACAGACAGAGCUACGAACGAGAUCCUUGAUGGCUUCCUGUCGCGUCAGCACCCACUGGUACUCAUCGUCGACCGACCGACCGUAGCAGCAGCACAGCACGCGCUUGUAGCGUUGGCUGGCGGUUCCAUCCCUCGAUUGCACUUCUACAGUGUGCGGGUCAUUCCGUGCUCUGCUCUGUCCAGGGCCUGCGCCCACCGCACGUGCUCGUCACAGAGUACAGUAUCACAGGAUUCCCAGUAUUCCAUUCUACGGUCUCGUCGAAUAUUUCCGAGCUACUGUAUGCGGGCUCAAGAAAUAGCAGCACGUAUAGGUACGGGGGCAUUCGCACCACACACAGUAGUAUGGCAUGUUCUUCCACAUGUUUUACCAUUAUAAAAUAAAUCAUUUAGUUCGAUCGAUCACGAGCCCCUCAUACCGCGAAUAAACAGGCAACAAAUCAACAAACUCCAACUUAUUAUUACACACCAAAGUCGCACAACAGUUUAACCGAAGAACGGUGAUAAAACUCAGUCUGAUAGAUGAAUCAUCAAAGAAGAAUCAACGCAUCCAUAAGCAAGGCCGACAUAGGAGCUAUGCACAUGCCAGGGAUGUAGCCAGUCGAGGAAGUUCAGCCAGUGAUCUUCGAAACCCCCGGACGACACCACCCCUGCGAUGCAUUGUAUGCUUCACCCGCCACCCGCUCCAUGACUUUUGCUACCAGGGUCAACACCCUUUGAUUUCCCUCCUUUAUCUGCAAAAUUUCCCAGUUUGUAUCCACCGACAUAUCAACCCGAUAAGCAUAAUAGGGUCAUUUAUCAGCUUUCUUUCAUAAAAAAAAACUAUCAUUUCUGCUUCUCCAAAUUGUCCGAGAGAUAGUGGUAACACCAACUAACACUAGUUUUUCAGUUUCAUGUUGAAAACUUUUAAUCUAGUUACUAAAGCACAAACUCAAAUUAUAAGGAAUAGAUCUCAAAUGAAAAGCACAUUUAAACAAACCCCACACUAGUUUAGCCACCAAACUCCUAAAGAAUAACUACUUAGAGCUCUCAUCAUUUUUUGGGGACCGAUCUAGCCUCUUUUCAGCAGAUUGUCUCUAGUUAAUAUGCUAUUUUGACCAUCGACCAAAGGAAGACUUUCAUUUUUGGCGGAAUUAUGUUUCCACAAAAAGGUGGAAACGCAUAAUAUUGAAUAGCUUAUGGUUUUGAUAAUAAAAAGACUGUCUACAGUUGACAUACACUUAAUAGAAUCCUUGUUGUUAGGCACCACAAUUUCCUCACAUCCUUUUUUGAUGCUACCCCCAAGAGCUAGAGUAUUACCCCACGUACUUCUCAUAAAUCUAAAAUCCUCCCGGCCUUUCUGCAAGGCAUCAACUAUGAUAAUAUUGUGAUCAAAACUAAAAUUGUGCAAUCUAGCAUAAGAGAUUUUAAGAGAUUUAUCAUCCACCUACCUGUCUUCCCCAAAUCAAGUAUUUUUGCCAUUAUCCACUUUUUUUGCAAUGCUGGUAGAAUAUGUCUUUUUAUUUUCAUGAGGCUCGACUAAAAAAGGGAGUCCCCUGUCUUAGGUUUAGCUGCAGAAAAGCAACCAUUCCGAACAUGUUUGUUCGGGAGAACUGUUUGCUAGAGACCAUUUACAGUCUCUAACUUCCAUAACCAUUUAGCCAGUAUAGCAUUGUUCAUGAGGUCAAGAUAUCUAAUCCCUAGCCCCCCCUUGCUCUUUAGGUCUAAAGCCACUGGCCCAGUUUACUACGAGAUUUUUUUUUUCUUGUUGUCGUCUCAUGCUAAACAAACCUAGCCAUGAAGAAAUUGUCUCUUUUCUUCACACCAAUCGGGAUGGGGUAGAAAGACAUCAUAUAAGUUGAAUCCUCCCCUUAUGUUGUUAAAGAAUCGAGGACAAAUCAUCCCCAUCAACAAUAUUAUAAUCAAAAUCAGUGGCAUGAUCAACUUUCGCUGAAAAAUCCAGUGAAGAACUAUUUGAAGCAUGCAAAUCACAUCUUUAAACCCUAUUUCUUGCAGCUACAAAUCCCCACACCAUUACUUUGUAGAGGAGAAUGUAAAGAUUUGUUGAGACCGGCAAUCUUACUGGAAAACGAAGCAGAAAAACAGUCGCAGGAGUCCUCUUCGCCGAACUCCUCCCCCUAGCCAGCAGCCAGAAUCGACUGCCAGCCGGGAAGAUGCCUACCCAUCGGCGACGCUCUGUGCAAGUGACUGGAUCCGUGCAGAACGCCGGGGAAACCGAGGGGAGCGACGUGGCAGCUGUGAAACCACCUGGGCAACAUUUUGCCUCGGCAACACCCGCACGUCAUUGUCGGUCACGACGGGCAUCGCCGGACUGCGUGGCGGUGACCUCUCCGCCAUGGUCACCACCCGCACACUAUCCCAGAUUGGGUCGGACGAAACCCACUUGUACGGCAAGUAGCGGUACCACUGCUCGCGCCGCAUCGGAUCGCCGGACUCCGCCUCCAUCACCGCCCAAUAGAGGAUCUCGAGCGGGGCCUUCCCUGAGAUCCGACUCCGCUCCUCUUCCGAGGCCUGUUCAACCACCCGACGUGAUACUCGACGCAUCUCCUACGCAUCCCUGUAUCGCCGAUAGAUCUCACAGAGCCUCACCAUCUUUGCCUCAUCGCCGCCGCGAUGGGAUCCCCCCACACCCAAGGCCCUUCCAACCCCAUUGGCGCCAUGUUCUCCCCCCACGCCCAAGGCCCUUCCACCGCUCAGAUCUGAGAUGGAGAUCAGAGGGGAGAAGUAGGGGAUCGCCGAGACCCUCAUGCUUCCACGCGUGGAUUUAAUGUCUGCCAAAGUCAUAUGUAUUCAUUGCCCGCAUCGCGGUUUCCUUGAGAUCUGUGCGUGAUCGACGCCGUUGAUUUUUCUAGAAAUUAAUAUGUCAUAUAUCUCGAGAAAUCAUUUAUUAGGCGCCAUCCUACAAGAUCCCACUGCCCAAGUUCUACUCCACUAUAACCAGAAUUGGCAUCCGUCCAUCCGCGGGACGAGCACCACCCAACAAGAUUACACCAAACGUGAUGUAUCAGUUUCAGUAUCGCAGAAACGCUGACGUAGGAAGCGAAGAAACUGUUGGUAAAAUGAGGCACAAACAGUGUGGUAAAAGUGUCCGGUCCAGUCUGACACUCGCCGUGCCGCAAACGCACCAUCCAGCACCCGACAUGCGCCCCAGCCACCGAACGGGCCAGACCAAUAGUCAUCUUACAAGCCGACCCCACUCACAGCCUCACCCAACACCCCCUUAUUAACCGCACACACAGCCAGAACCAAUUCAAUCAUCAUCAACCUCACCGCGUACCUCCCUCCGCUCCUCGUCAUAAUAAGUUAACAACCCAUCCCUCCCAGACAUUUCCUCGGUCCAUCCACCGGCGCCGCCGCGCUGAUCCCCGACCAAGCAUGGAGCUUUUUGCGCACGUCGAGGGAAUUCUCCUUCCAGCUUGUACCAGUACGACAACGACUAACCUCUUUUCGUCGAGGUUUUCACUGCCCAAGUUUUCUAUUUAUAACCUGGAUGGUGAGCAGGCUUUCCACCACGAUGACCAUGACCAUGCUUAUAUGAACCGCAAUUUUAUUUUUUAAGAAAAGGAGGAUUACCCCGUCCUCUACGUCAGAGUGAUGCAUGUAGCCCCGACUAUAUGUACCGUAAUGGCGAAUGUAGACAAGUAUGGACGGAUGAAUGGAUGGAUGCUCGAGUGUUUUAUAUUUCUUCUAAGCAAUUUAUUGUGUUGUGUGAUAUCGUGUUUCAGCCGUGGCAUGUUUUUGUCCUGGGCAUGCUUUUCGCGCUGAGGUGUUGCCAUCAUUCAUGUCUCUUGUAGGUUUGGACUUGGACUAGAAGAAAAUGUGCGCCUUGCCGCGCCAUUUUCAUUGUUAUUGUAAAAUCAACUCAAUCUUUUUCUUUUGUUGUGUGUAGUUAUCGGACAGAACAUACAUGUGUUUCCUCGUGUAUCGUCGAAGUCAUGGAAUAUAAGAUUCUACCUAUUCACUAUAAGUUGAUACUAUUUUUUAUUUGGAUCGUAUAGAGUAAAUAUAUAAGAGGUGAAUAAAAAGUGAUUUUCUAUUGAAAUACAUCUUAUUCUCAUAUAAAGGUUGCAGUGCACCAGAUAUAUGAGUAAAGCAUUUCGAUGCUCGAGCUGACACUGAGCUCAGAAUCCUGGGCUUCCAUUCUGUCUUUGGGAUAUUGUUUUUUUGGGGGUUGUCAUUGGGAUAUGUUUUUUUUCUUAUGGUCGGUCAUUAGAAAAACCUUAUUUUCAUCCAAAUACAAAAUUGGAAUAUAUGAAUACUGCAGUACAGCCGUAUGGACCUACCACGUGAUAUUGACUACGUACAUGUGCCUGAGCUGAGGCCGAUAAGGGCAUGUACAAUGCAUAGCCUCAAGGUGAUGCCUCGCAUGCCAUGUAGGAUCGGAUAUGACGUAAAGUAGGUUCGGAUAGGGAAGCAGGAUCCUCUCCAGGAGAUGGGUGCUUGAAGAGAAAAAGCAUGGUCCGGUGACAAAAACUGAAAAGGUUGGAGUGAAAAGUAAAGAUGCAUGUGUACUAGAGUCUUUAUUUUUUAUUUCUUAAUGAGGCCCACUAGUGAUACCUUGCAUUGGAGAGGGAAAAUUAAUAUAGGUGCUUCAAAUUACUUUUUGCCAUGGGGCAUAUGUAUCCAUAUGCCACCAUUGUACAUGCUCAAAGAUGUGCGAAAUUAAAAAUAACAGCAGUCUCCCCGUGGAUGUUCUCUCUGAGCUCUCUCUCUCUUUCUCUCUCUCCUCACAGUCGUGGGUUACUUGUCGGCCUCCGGCGCACACGUUGGAGCAGGGGAGGACAUGCGUAAAUAAAGCUUGAGGCUUACGCGGUAAGUACACCCCUUUAACUGGAUGACAUGCUGGUCCCACAUCUCCAAUUGAACAAGGGAGCUCCAUUUUUUGGGGGCUUAGUAACUGUAAAGAUGCUCCUGUAAAAAGGUGGUGGUUUGCCUAGCCACGUUAUGCUUUCCUUCCAUUUUGUCUGAAAAGUUCCAUGUUUUCCUUACGUAUAGGAAGAUUCCCUCAUUCGUGUAUAUAGUUUUCUGCUUGGUUUGCGCGCACACUUGAGCAAAUUCCAGCUAUGGAAAAGAUAAGAAUGAUUGAUGAGAAGAUGAGGUAGUUGUACUUGUACAUGGAUAUAGUUUGCCAACAUUGUUUUAAUCUGAAUUUGGCCCGUCUUCAUGGGGGUGGUGGCAUUCGACGCUGAUGUUUUGUCCAUGAUUGAAUUGGACAUGUUGCGUGCUACUAACCGUCCUUGGGCCCCAUAUAUACUCCUCAUGGUAAUGGAAGACAAGUUGCCAUUGGCUAGCUAGUCCUUAUGAUUUAAGUGUGUUGUGAUGUUAAUUAUAGAGGCAUGACUUUUGACUGGAUUGUGUCGAUGCGACGCAGUGCAAUUCCCUGGAUUCCAAUUGUUUGGUGGAAGCACGAUUUCAGUCUUGACGUACGUACAUGUCUAGUGACGCAUCGCCCGGCCAAACUCUAAAUAAAAUAUACGUAGGCUAGAAACUCCCCGUUGAGAGAUGGACGGUUGAUGUGAAAAAUCGAUCUUUCUCAACAACAACAAACGCGUGCACUGUUGUAUUUAGGUGACGACGGAAGCCGCGCCAGAAAAGGAAGUUAAGUGGUCACGCAUGGAUCAUUCGACAUGCACCAUAAGUAGAGUUUUCACACCUGACAGUCACGCACACCUAAAAUGGCAUCCUUUGUGAGUGUUGCAUUCGUCUCACGCAUUCUUAAUCGUGAAGCUUCUCGCAGGAACAAACAAUUAAACAAGCAAGUAAAUGGAUAGAGAAAGUUUGUUGUCUGUCAAUUACCUCGGUAUUGAGCUAGGAGUACUUAAGAAGGAGUGACCAUUUCAAUCAAGCAGGUGGCAGGUGACUGAAUCUGACGCGGAUGUGCACGUACCACGAGCUUGAGUGCGCGGCAGCGGCAGCGGCUGCAUGUAUGCGACGAGGCCGGAUUCGGCACGAGUGAGUCGAGCCAUCGAUCGGAUGGAGUCCAGGUCAGACCAAAUCCUCUUCCCUUUCCUGCUGAGGCAGACGCGUCCUUCCGUGAGACAGCAGCGGCACAUACAUUUGGAGCUACGAUACGAUGAACAACCCGCGCCUGGUCGAUCAGCCUGGUCUGCACAGACAGUGACCAUGUCCUGUGGUAGGUGUCUCGAUCAUGCAACGAGCAACGGUUAGCGCUUGUCGAUCAUCACUCGACCUGAGCAGGAGUAGGAUGUUCACACUCCACUCCACGGUCGCAUGAAGAAAUCUAUGAUUUCCACUUUACCUUGCCAGUGUGACUAACCGUUGCUCUCGAUCCACCGCUCUACAAUGAGUACUAGUACUAUGUUCACACUCCACAGUCCAGUCGCAUUAGGAAGUUUCUCCUUUUAGCGUGCUGGUGUGCCCGGCCGUUGCACACAAUGGACGGACGCAUCUUCUCCUCUCUAUAUCAGCAGUAAGUAUAUAUACGUACUACUACGUACGAAGAUAUGAGUAUUAAUUAAUUGUAUGCGCACGGGCGGGCGUAUCCUUACUCAGCAAAGUUUUCUUCCCUUGGUUACGCGCGCUUAUGCGUACACAGGAGGACGGAAGCUUCUGGAUCGGGCGGGAAACGAGCCAAACCGGAGACCAAGACGAAACUGACGUUCCAUUGUAGGUGCGAAUGCGCGACACAAGGUAGAGUGCACAACGUGCGCUCACUGCGCGACAGCCGAAUUCCAAGAGACGAAUGAAUGAUGUUUGUUCGUGGUCGGCAUGCGCCGACGUCCAGGUCAAACCCAACUCGGCAUGCAUCGACGUCCAGGUCAAACCAAACUCGAUCUGUUCACUGAGAGCUACGAACGAGACCCCUGAUUGCUGCAGUAGUACUCAUCGUUACAAACUUACAAUCGAGAGGCAAAAGAUCUUCAGUACAAAGAGAUCUUGGUUGAGCCACACCCCUGACACAUUCCCUUCCUUACUACUAUAAUUUGUCAAACAAUCAAUCCUAUUUUGUUCACGCCCAAUAUUCUGAGGAAUAAACUCCCUGUCGAAACACAAAGCCUUUGUCUCCAAGCCAAGAUACCUAUAAGCAGAGCGGGAGAGAGCUUCAGCGGAGAACACUCCUAAUGCCUACGAGGAAUUGAACUAUACAAUGACUGGAAAGUCUGUAUGUUGAAUAGCAAAAGCCAUACCUUGCAUGAUGCAUGUAACUCACCUCCAGCGCCUCGUUGCAAUUAUAUAUAUAGCAAUAGGUUGAAGAUAGGACCGAACCAUCUUCUCUUCUCAGUAUCAUGCCUGCCGCAGUUGUGCCAUCUGCUGAAAAGAAGGAACCAUCAACCGAUAAUGCGACGUAGCCAGCCGGCGGCCGAGGCCAAUGUAGGCGUUGUGCAGGCGCAACACUCUCUUGGACGUGGACCAACUCACAUGCACGCAUCUUGCCUUUAACAAUUUAUUACUCCAGUCUAUACUUGUGAGAGUAAACAAGGGACUUCAAAAAGCUAUCAAGGAAUUCUAUUGUAGCCACCAUUCGAGGCUUCUCUUUGCCAUGACACAAGUCAUUCUGCAUCUGCCAAAUGCACCAAAUCAACAUAAUCACCAUGUCUCGCAUGGUUGCUAUGCAAUUCAUUAGAACAUUCAGCAGCCAAUUAGUCCCACUGUGGCACUGUCUACUAACAGUGUUAGAAUUAAUGGGCUAGGCCCAUAGCAAUUUCUGAAAUCUCAAAGCCCAUGUGUAAAAUGGCAAGUGGUGGUGCUAAGUUUAGUCCCACCUUGAAAGUUGAAGAAGAGUUGGACCUCUUUAUAUAGUGGGUUCUCUCCACCACUCUAAGUGGUGUGUGAGAAGAGAAAGGGAAAACCACACGCGCGCGCUCGCUCGCCUGGCUUGGCCUGGCCUGGCCAGCGCGUGAAUGGUCCGCCGAAAUCCGGUCCGUCUCCUUGCAGGAGCGCAGCUUCCUUUUGCCGUUUUAUUUUUAUGUCUUGGCAGACAAGUUUUUGAUUUCUUGUCCGGUAAGUAUACGAAUUAGAAACCGAGUCGGUUAGGGAUUGUGGUCAAUACCGCCUCUGGUCCUAAUAUAUAUACAGCUACCGGUUGCGGCCAGAGACACACCGAAAAACACCUAGGGUUUUGCCUCAUCUCACAACUUGCGCCGCCAUCGUAGUCUACUCCAUCCCAAACGCCGGCGUGCAUCGGCGCGUGGGAGAGCAGGUCUCCGGAACCGUUCGUCUUUGCGAUCCUGCACCGGGAGAGGACGAAUUAGGUUUUUGGGAAGCGCUGUGCGCGACUGCUCAAAUUCGUCAUCACGGGUCGUCUUCCGUCCAAGUCGGGCGGUGCUACUCAUCGUCGUAUUCAUCGCCGUCAGCAGCAGAUCGUCGCCAACAUCGCCAUCAACACUGUCGCACCCAUAAUAGCUGACGAUCAGUACGUCCAACAUCCUCUGUUCAUGUCUGUUUCUACAGCUAUUGUUACGUGUUUGCUGCUGUUAUGCAUGUCUUGCUGUUCUUCUAGUUUGCUAGAUUAUUGCAUGCUAGUAUCUCUUCUAGUCAUGAAUUAUUUACUGGAAUUAAUCAUGAACUUGCCUAAUAUUCCAACAAUCCAAAAACCUAAUUAUAGGCAAUUUCCUGAGUUAACUAUGGCUGGAUUCGCUGAUGCACUGAGGCUGGAUAAGUUUACCAGUGUGCACUUUAAGAGGUGGUAGGUGAAGACCACGCUCUGGCUUACUGCUCUGAAAGUUUUCCACGCUAGUGUUGGUGCUCCAGAGGGAAUGACCGACGAAGAUCGGAGAAAAUUCCAGGAAGCCAAUACUAUGUUUGUGGGAUGCAUUCUGAGUGUUCUUGCUGACCAUUUGUGUGAUGUGUACAUGCACAUAAACGACUGAAAAAUUCUGUGGGAUGCACUGAAUGCAAAAUUCGGUGCAACAGAUGCAGGCAGUGAACUGUACAUCAUGGAGAGUUUUCAUGACUACAAGAUGGUGAAUAACCGUUCUGUGGUUGAACAAGCUCAUGAGAUACAGUGCAUUGUGAAGGAACUUGAACUCCUUAAAUGUGUUCUACCCGACAAAUUCGUGGCUGGGUGCAUGAUUGCAAAGUUGCCUCCUUCAUGGAGGAAUUUCGCCACAACUCUGAAGCAUAAGAGACAGGAGAUAUCAGUUGAAAAUCUGAUUGCAUCUCUUGAUGUUGAAGAAAAAGCUCGGGCUAAAGAUACCACUGAAAAAGGAGGUGAGGUUCAGCCUACUGCUAACAUGGUGCAGAGGUACCCACAGAACAAGAACAAAGGGAAGAACAAACCUGUUUUCAACAAGCCUGCCAAGACUACUACCUUCAAGAAGAAGAAGUUCAACAAGGCUGAGCUAGAGUGCUACGCCUGUGGGAAGCCUGGACACUUUUCCAAGGAAUGCCCUGAACGUGCAGACCGCAGAGGGAAAACAAGCUCCAAGACUGUCAACAUGGUGACCGCUAGCAAUACUGAUGGGUAUGGUAAUUUACCUAUUGUGCUUUCAGUAUUUCAAUCAUCUUCGUGGUGGAUUGAUUCGGGUGCUAACGUUCAUGUGUGUGCUGACAUCUCCCUGUUUACUUCUUAUCAGGUCGCAAGGGAUUCUUCCGUCCUAAUGGGGAAUGGGUCACAUGCUUCUGUUCGUGGCAUUGGCACGGUGGAUCUGAAGUUUACUUCGGGAAAGAUCGUGCAACUAAGGAACGUGCAGCAUGUCCCUACUAUGAACAAGAAUCUAGUUAGCGGCUCCCUUCUAUGUCGAGAUGGAUUUAAGGUAGUUUUAGAGUCCAAUAAAGUAAUUGUGUCAAGAUUUGGACAAUUUAUAGGAAAAGGCUAUGAGUGCGGAGGCUUGUUCGCUUUUCUCUUUCAGAUUUUUGCAAUAAGUCAAUAAACCAAAUUUGUGCUAGUGUUAAUGAUGAUGCAAGUAUUUGGCACUCUCGUUUAUGUCAUAUUAAUUUUGGUUUAAUGUCUCGGCUAUCCAGCUGAGUUUAAUUCCGAACUUCACAGUUGCCAAAGGUUCUAAGUGCCAUAGUUGUGUGCAAUCUAAGCAACCUCGAAAGCCUCAUGCCGAGGAGAGAAACUUGGCACCUCUAGAACUCAUACAUUCUGAUCUUUGUGAGAUGAAUGGUGUGUUGACAAAAGGUGGAAAGAGAUAUUUCAUGACUUUGAUUGAUGAUGCGACUAGAUUUUGCUAUGUUUAUUUGUUGCAAACUAAAGAUGAAGCAUUAGACUACUUUAAAAUCUAUAAAGCUGAAGUUGAAAAUCAACUAGAGAGAAAGAUCAAGCGUCUUAGGUCCGAUCGUGGUGGAGAGUAUUUUCUAGAAGUUUUUGAUGAAUUUUGUGAGGAACAUGGUAUUAUUCAUGAGAGGACGCCUCCCUAUUCACCUCAAUCAAAUGGAGUGGCCGAGAGGAAAAACCGCACAUUGACUGACUUGGUGAAUGCCAUGUUAGACACUGCUGGUUUAUCUAAGGCAUGGUGGGGGGGAGGCUCUAUUGACUUCAUGUCAUGUCCUGAAUAGAGUUCCCAACAAUAAUAAAGAGAAAACCCCUUAUGAGGAGUGGGUUGGGAGAAAACCAUCACUUUCUUAUUUGCGCACUUGGGGAUGUUUGGCAAAGGUCAAUAUUCCUAUUCCUAAGAAACGCAAACUUGGACCAAAGACAGUGGAUUGUGUCUUUCUAGGGUAUGCUCAACGGAGCAUUGCUUAUAGGUUUUUAGUGGUAAAAUCUGAAGUACCUGAUAUGCAUGUUGAUACUAUAAUGGAAUCUCGUGAUGCAACAUUUUUUGAGAACAUAUUUCCUAUGAAAGAUAUGCAUAGCAUUGCUAGAUUUUCUUCUGAGAUAAUUCCUGAAUCUAGUACAACUGAUGAAUAUUUCGAACAAUCACAUGAGGAAGUCCUUGAGAAGGAUAACAAUGAAGUUCCUAGAAGGAACAAGAGACAAAGGAUUGCAAAAUCCUUUGGUGAUGAUUUCAUUGUAUACCUUGUGGACGACACACCCAAGACGAUUGCAGAAGCAUAUGCAUCUCCGGAUGUAGAUGAUUGGAAAGAAGCUGUUCAUAAUGAGAUGGACUCAAUUCUUUCUAAUGGAACUUGGGAACUAACUGAUAGACCAUAUGGUUGUAAACCUGUGGGCUGUAAGUGGGUGUUCAAAAAGAAGCUAAAGCCUGAUGGUACUAUUGAUAAGUACAAGACAUGGCUAGUGGCCAAGGGCUACACUCAGAAAGAAGGCGAAGAUUACUUUGACACCUAUUUACCCGUUGCUAGAAUGACCACCAUUCGAGUGUUACUUUCCUUGGCUGCCUCUUAUGGUCUUAUCAUUCAUCAAAUGGAUGUAAAGACAGCUUUUCUCAAUGGAGAGUUGGAAGAGGAGAUCUAUAUGGAUCAGCCUGACGGGUUUGUGGUAAAGAGUGAAGAGAGAAAGGUGUGCAAGUUGUUAAAAUCUUUGUAUGGUCUGAAACAGGCACCUAAGCAAUGGCAUGAGAAGUUUGAAAGAACUUUGACUUCUGCAGGAUUUGUCAUUAACAAGGCUGAUAGGUGUGUUUACUAUCGCCAUGGUGGGGGCAAUAGUGUCAUAUUAUGUUUGUAUGUGGACGACAUACUGAUCUUUGGUACAAACAUUAAUGCAAUUAAUGAGGUCAAGUCUUUUCUAUCAAAAAGUUUUGACAUGAAAGAUCUGGGAGAAGCCGAUGUAAUUCUAAACAUCAAACUUAUUAAGGAUGAGAGUGGGAUUACAUUAACGCAAUCUCACUAUGUUGAGAAGGUCUUGAACCGAUUCGGUUUUAUGGAUAGCAAGCCUUCUCCAACACCUUAUGAUCCCAGCGUGACACUCAGAAAGAACAAGAAAGAAACGAGAGAUCAAUUAAGAUACUCUCAAAUUGUCGGUUCACUCAUGUACUUAGCUAGCGCUACAAGACCAGAUAUCUCUUUUGCUGUGAGCAAACUGAGUAGGUUCAUGUCCAACCCGGGUGAUGAUCAUUGGCAUGCACUAGAAAGGGUCUUGCGCUAUCUGAGAGGUACUAUGAGUUACGGAAUUACUUAUUCAGGGCAUCCUGCUAUGCUAGAAGGAUAUAGUGAUUCAAAUUGGAUCUCCGAUGUUGAUGUACUUUACGCAACAAGUGGGUAUGUAUUUACUCAUGGUGGUGGCGCAGUGUCAUGGAGGUCUUGCAAGCAAACCAUAUUGAGGAGGUCAACUAUGGAAGCAGAAUUAACUGCUUUGGACACAGCUACUGUUGAGGCAGAAUGGCUGCGUGAGCUCUUGAUGGACUUGCCGGUUGUUGAAAAACCUGUACCGGCUAUUCUUAUGAAUUGUGAUAACCAAACGGUUAUCGCUAAAGUGAACAAUUCUAAAGAUAAUGCAAAGUCAUCAAGACACGUGAAAAGACAUUUGAAGUCUAUCAGGAAGUUGAGAAACUCCGGAGUAAUAACUGUUACGUAUAUACAAACAGACAAAAACCUGGCAGAUCCCUUUACAAAGGGACUAUCACGAAAUGUGAUAGAUAUUGCAUCAAGGGAGAUGGGUAUGAGACCCAUAGAUGUUACACCAUAGUAGUAACCCAACCUUUGUGAUCGGAGAUCCCGUGAAUUAGGAUCUGGGAAGAACAAGCUAUUGGUUAACUGAGGAGAGUAAUAACUUAUGAUCGUCUCCAAGUGAAGAUGCAAAACUCUCAGAGCUGAUAAGGCAGGUCGGCAACAUGCCUUAAUGUGGUUCUAUUGGCUAUAAUUAGCAAAGAUGCUGUCCUACGGAGCAGUCUUGAAAGAACACACCUAUAUGAGUUCUGACUGUAAACGUCGCAGUCUAUGAGAUUUGGAUGAUCUCUAGUAAACUCACGAAGAGACCAGGGAGUAUGACGUAUAAGCUCCAAACUGCGGGGUAGCCUACUGGCGGUCAGGUACUGGUUAAGACUUUGAGUGAAACCUGUUCACACAAAACUAGCAAUUCAAGACAUAGUCCAUUGUCAAGUUGUGAAUGGAUGUAGCUUAAAGUUCUAGGCAGAAGUUCAACUUAACAGUCUCUGCUAAAACACUGGUAUAUUAAACAAGUGGUGAGAGAAGGAAAAUCUCUAAGUGGGUAUUUGAGAUCUGGUGGGGGAUUGUUAGAAUUAAUGGGCUAGGCCCAUAGCAAUUUCUGAAAUCUCAAAGCCCAUGUGUAAAAUGGCAAGUGGUGGUGCUAAGUUUAGUCCCACCUUGGAAGUUGAAGAAGAGUUGGACCUCUUUAUAUAGUGGGUUCUCUCCACCACUCUAAGUGGUGUGUGAGAAGAGAAAGGGAAAACCACACGCGCGCGCUCGCUCGCCUCGCCUGGCCUGGCCUGGCGUGGCGAGGCGAGGCGAGGCGUACAUGCGACAUGCGCGUGAAUGGUCCGCCGAAAUCCGGUCCGUCUCCUUGCAGGAGCGCAGCUUCCUUUUGCCGUUUUAUUUUUAUGACUUGGCAGACAAGUUUUUGAUUUCUUGUCCAGUAAGUAUACGAAUUAGAAACCGAGUCGGUUUGGGAUUGUGGUCGUGACACAAUACCGCCUCUGGUCCUAAUAUAUAUACAGCUACCGGCUGCGGCCAGAGACACACCAAAAAACACCUAGGGUUUUGCCUCAUCUCACAACUUGCGCCGCCAUCGUAGUCUACUCCAUCCCAAACGCCGGCGUGCAUCGGCGCGUGGGAGAGCAGGUCUCCGGAACCGUUCGUCUUUGCGAUCCUGCACCGGGAGAGGACGAAUUAGGUUUUUGGGAAGCGCUGUGCGCGACUGCUCAAAUUCGUCAUCACGGGUUGUCUUCCGUCCAAGUCGGGCGGUGCUACUCAUCGUCGUAUUCAUCGCCGUUAGCAGCAGAUCGUCGCCAACAUCGCCAUCAACACUGUCGCACCCAUAAUAGCUAACGAUCAGUACGUCCAACAUCCUCUGUUCAUGUCUGUUUCUACAGCUAUUGUUACGUGUUUGCUGCUGUUAUGCAUGUCUUGCUGUUCUUCUAGUUUGCUAGAUUAUUGCAUGCUAGUAUCUCUUCUAGUCAUGAAUUAUUUACUGGAAUUAAUCAUGAACUUGCCUAAUAUUCCAACAAACAGUACAUCACGGGGCAAGGGCCAUAUAGCGCGCAUGUGCUCCCGAAUAUUUCGAGCAUGGCUGCAGGAAACCAAUGCAUGGAAUGAAUUUUCAUCUUCGAUACCGCACAGCGUACAUGUUUGAUAACCCAUAAGUAUAGGAAUUAAUUAUAGACUUUUUCGAUAAGUAAGAGUGUUGAACCCAAUGAGGAGCUAAAGCUAGAAUUAAUAUUCUCAAGUUCUAUCGACCACCGAUACAACUCUACACACACUUAACGUUUGCUUUACCUAGAAUAAUAAUAAAAAUACUUUACAGGUGUAAUAGGAUAAGUUUGCAAGAAUAAAACUAGAAGCAUUUAGCGGGUAAUAAAAGUUAGUUUGUUUUAGUAGAGAGUAUUUUGUAACACAAAGAGAAAGAUUGUCCAUAGGGAAUUGAAUAUAACACGAUAGAUACUUAUCAUACGCAAUGAGGGAGAGGCAUGAGCUAACAUACUUUACCUACUCGGAUCACAUGUUCUUAUGAUUCUAACUCUAGCAAGCAUCUGCAACUACUAAAAAUCAUUAAGGUAAAACCCAACCAUAGCAUUAAGUAACAAAUCCUCUUUACUCUCAUACGCAACAACCCCCUUAUUCGGGUUUAAGCUUCUGUCACUCACACAACCCACUAUAAGUGAAUCAUGAACGUAUUGCAACAUCCUACAAUGGUAAUCUCACACGAUUACGCGACACGGAGGGCAUCAUAGGACAGCACCAUAUUGACAUACAGCUCACAUCAAUCGCACCAUACAACAAUUAACCCGUAGGACAAAAGAAAUCUACUCAAACAUUAUAUGAUUGCCACACAUCAUUGGACAAUAACAUAUAGCAUUCAGCACCAUAUUCAAGUAGAGAAUUACAGCGGGAAUAGAGGGGUUACACCGCUGCAUAGAGGGGGAGAGGAUUUGUGAUGACGGCGACGAAGUUAUUGAUGUAGAUCACCGUCACGAUGGUUUCCCCAGUGGCGCUCUGGCGCCACCGGAAGAAGGGGGAGACCCCCCCUUCUGCUUACUUAGCCUCCCCCUAGAUGGCAGGAGGGAUUUCCCUCUGGUCCAUGGCCGCCGUGGCUCCCAGUGGGCAGGAGCCCCUCCGAGAUUGGGUCUCUCUCUGUGUUUCUCUUCUAAUUUUUGUUUGUUUAUGGAUGCCUUCACCGUUUUUUAUAUUCCCGGAGAUCCGUUACUCCGAUUGGGCUGAAAUUUAAGGGGAUUUUUGUUAGGAAAUUGUCUUUCUUUCAACGAAAGAAGGGCUCGAACCGAUGUACGAGGGAGUCACAAGGCAACACGGCGCGCCCUAUGGAUCCCUCAGGUAUCGUCUUGCGUUGAUUCCUCUUCCCAAUCCUUCAAACUAUGCAUAAGUGCUUGUAGCGAGUCUGCUACGUAGGAGGACAGUGGUAUCUCUAGCCCACUAGGGUUCAAGUCCAGAUAAUCGCAUUUGUCAUGGAUUUAUUCAGGAUUUCUGGUGAUGCGCGUUCAGUGGGAGGAGACGUUCUCAUUGACUACGAGGCGUCUACGAUGACUUCGUAAAAUCUCAAGAUGAUAUGCAGGUCAGUCUCCCGGAUGUGCUCAUAAGGAUAGGAUGUGUGUUUGUGCGUUCAUAGGGGUGAGUGUAUGCGCGUAUAUAUGAGUGCUUAUGUCUGUACUGUGUUAAAACAAGUACUUAUCGCCGACCGACUAUAGCAGUACCACAACACGCGCUCGUAGCGCUGACGGUUCAAUCUGUCGAUUGUACAAUGUGCGGGUCAUUCCGUGCUCAAGUCUGCAUAGAUCGCACAUGCUCGUCACACAGUACAGUACCAUAGGAUCCACAUCGCGGUUUCCCAGCAUUCCAAUUCUAUGGUCUCGUCGAUUAUUUCCUACUUUAUGUGUGAUCAAGAAAUAGCACGUACAGGGGCCUUCGCACCCAACACACACAGUAGUAUAGCAUGUUCUUUCACAUGUUUUACCAUUAAAAGAAAUCAUUUGGUUCGAUCGAUCACAAGCCCCUGCCGCUGAACAGCAAAGCGACUAACACAUGCAACAAAUCACCAAACUCCAAUUUAUUAUUAUACACCAAAGGCACACACAAGUUUAACCGAAGAACGAUACUAAAACCUCAGUCUGAUAGGUGGAUCACCAAAGGAGAAUCAACGCAUCCAGAAGUAAGGCCAACAUAGGAGAGGUGCACCACGCCAGGGACAUAGCCAGUCGAGGAAAUUCAGCCAGUGAUCCUCAGAAGAACACCGGACAACGCCACCCCCACGCUGCAUGGUAGGCUUCACAUGCCACCUACUCCAUGACUUUUGCUCCUAGCGUCAACACCCUUUGAUUUCCCUCCUUUUAU
rnacentral:lncRNA from 1 species